GCCUCUGUAGUCUAAUGGUUAUGACGCUCACCUUAAGCGGCGAGAGGUUGCAGGUUCGAAUCCCGCCAGAGGCA